GACAGCACCGGUUACCUAGUGGCUAGAGCGUUCGCCUUGGAUGUGGGAGGUCGUGGGUUCGAUCCCCGGCCGAGUCA